rnacentral:misc_RNA from 1 species
AGGCUGACUCUAUUACCGAGAAGUCCCUAAUGCUCUUUUUCUAGGGCACUAAGAAAACCCAUUUCUAAGGCAACUUUUAGCAUGGUUUUUAUUUUUCUCUUGGAAGGAAUAGUUGCCUAUCUGACCACCACAACAUGCAGUACAUACCAAGCUACCUUCGUAUUUCACUAUAUACAUGCCAUCAACUUCUUGUCCUACCUGUACACUUAACGCCAGAGUAAUGGCCCAGAAGCUAGAGAAUCAAGUUGUCACAUAAAAUGUCAAAAAGAUGACACCAUUGUAACUCAGUUGCCAAUCUUCUUUGUGCAGAAUUCAG